rnacentral:rRNA from 1 species
UACGUAGGGCGCAAGCGUUGUCCGGAAUUAUUGGGCGUAAAGAGCUCGUAGGCGGUCUGUUACGUCGGCUGUGAAAUUCCAGGGCUCAACCCCGGGCCUGCAUUCGAUACGGGCAGACUAGAGUUCGGUAGGGGAGUCUGGAAUUCCUGGUGUAGCGGUGAAAUGCGCAGAUAUCAGGAGGAACACCGGUGGCGAAGGCGGGACUCUGGGCCGAUACUGACGCUGAGGAGCGAAAGCGUGGGGAGCAAACAGG